rnacentral:rRNA from 1 species
AACGAACGCUGGCGGCAGGCUUAACACAUGCAAGUCGAGCGCCCCGCAAGGGGAGCGGCGGACGGGUGAGUAACGCGUGGGAAUCUACCCAUCUCUACGGAAUAACGCAUGGAAACGUGUGCUAAUACCGUAUACGUCCUUCGGAAGAAAGAUUUAUCGGAGAUGGAUGAGCCCGCGUUGGAUUAGCUAGUUGGUGGGGUAAAGGCCUACCAAGGCGACGAUCCAUAGCUGGUCUGAGAGGAUGAUCAGCCACACUGGGACUGAGACACGGCCCAGACUCCUACGGGAGGCAGCAGUGGGGAAUAUUGGACAAUGGGCGCAAGCCUGAUCCAGCCGUGCCGCGUGAGUGAUGAAGGCCCUAGGGUUGUAAAGCUCUUUCACCGGUGAAGAUAAUGACGGUAACCGGAGAAGAAGCCCCGGCUAACUUCGUGCCAGCAGCCGCCGUAAGAC